UAUUGCACAAUGGGCGAAAGCCUGAUGCAGCGACGCCGCGUGAGGGAUGACGGCCUUCGGGUUGUAAACCUCUUUCGCACGGGACGAAGGGUGACUGACGGUACCGUGAGAAGAAGCACCGGCUAACUACGUGCCAGCAGCCGCGGUAAUACGUAGGGUGCGAGCGUUGUCCGGAAUUAUUGGGCGUAAAGAGCUCGUAGGCGGUUUGUCGCGUCGACUGUGAAAGCUGGGGCUUAACUCUCAGCUUGCAGUCGAUACGGGCAGACUUGAGUUCGGUAGGGGAGACUGGAAUUCCUGGUGUAGCGGUGAAAUGCGCAGAUAUCAGGAGGAACACCGGUGGCGAAGGCGGGUCUCUGGGCCGAUACUGACGCUGAGGAGCGAAAGCGUGGGGAGCGAAC
rnacentral:rRNA from 1 species